AGACCCGAAACCCGGUGAUCUAGCCAUGGGCAGGUUGAAGGUUGGGUAACACUAACUGGAGGACCGAACCGACUAAUGUUGAAAAAUUAGCGGAUGACCUGUGGCUGGGGGUGAAAGGCCAAUCAAACCGGGAGAUAGCUGGUUCUCCCCGAAAGCUAUUUAGGUAGCGCCUCGUGAAUUCAUCUCCGGGGGUAGAGCACUGUUUCGGCUAGGGGGCCAUCCCGGCUUACCAACCCGAUGCAAACUGCGAAUACCGGAGAAUGUUAUCACGGGAGACACACGGCGGGUGCUAACGUCCGUCGUGAAGAGGGAAACAACCCAGACCGCCAGCUAAGGUCCCAAAGUCAUGGUUAAGUGGGAAACGAUGUGGGAAGGCCCAGACAGCCAGGAUGUUGGCUUAGAAGCAGCCAUCAUUUAAAGAAAGCGUAAUAGCUCACUGGUCGAGUCGGCCUGCGCGGAAGAUGUAACGGGGCUAAACCAUGCACCGAAGCUGCGGCAGCGACACUGUGUGUUGUUGGGUAGGGGAGCGUUCUGUAAGCCUGUGAAGGUGUGUCGUGAGGCAUGCUGGAGGUAUCAGAAGUGCGAAUGCUGACAUAAGUAACGAUAAAGCGGGUGAAAAGCCCGCUCGCCGGAAGACCAAGGGUUCCUGUCCAACGUUAAUCGGGGCAGGGUGAGUCGACCCCUAAGGCGAGGCCGAAAGGCGUAGUCGAUGGGAAACGGGUUAAUAUUCCCGUACUUGGUGUUACUGCGAAGGGGGGACGGAGAAGGCUAUGUUGGCCGGGCGACGGUUGUCCCGGUUUAAGUGUGUAGGUGUGUGUUCCAGGUAAAUCCGGUUCACUUUAACACUGAGGCGUGACGACGAGGCACUACGGUGCUGAAGCAACAAAUGCCCUGCUUCCAGGAAAAGCCUCUAAGCAUCAGGUAACAUCAAAUCGUACCCCAAACCGACACAGGUGGUCAGGUAGAGAAUACCAAGGCGCUUGAGAGAACUCGGGUGAAGGAACUAGGCAAAAUGGUGCCGUAACUUCGGGAGAAGGCACGCUGACACGUAGGUGAAGUGAUUUACUCAUGGAGCUGAAGUCAGUCGAAGAUACCAGCUGGCUGCAACUGUUUAUUAAAAACACAGCACUGUGCAAACACGAAAGUGGACGUAUACGGUGUGACGCCUGCCCGGUGCCGGAAGGUUAAUUGAUGGGGUCAGCGCAAGCGAAGCUCCUGAUCGAAGCCCCGGUAAACGGCGGCCGUAACUAUAACGGUCCUAAGGUAGCGAAAUUCCUUGUCGGGUAAGUUCCGACCUGCACGAAUGGCGUAAUGAUGGCCAGGCUGUCUCCACCCGAGACUCAGUGAAAUUGAACUCGCUGUGAAGAUGCAGUGUACCCGCGGCAAGACGGAAAGACCCCGUGAACCUUUACUAUAGCUUGACACUGAACAUUGAGCCUUGAUGUGUAGGAUAGGUGGGAGGCUUUGAAGUGUGGACGCCAGUCUGCAUGGAGCCGACCUUGAAAUACCACCCUUUAAUGUUUGAUGUUCUAACGUGGACCCGUUACCCGGGUUGCGGACAGUGUCUGGUGGGUAGUUUGACUGGGGCGGUCUCCUCCUAAAGAGUAACGGAGGAGCACGAAGGUUGGCUAAUCCUGGUCGGACAUCAGGAGGUUAGUGCAAUGGCAUAAGCCAGCUUGACUGCGAGCGUGACGGCGCGAGCAGGUGCGAAAGCAGGUCAUAGUGAUCCGGUGGUUCUGAAUGGAAGGGCCAUCGCUCAACGGAUAAAAGGUACUCCGGGGAUAACAGGCUGAUACCGCCCAAGAGUUCAUAUCGACGGCGGUGUUUGGCACCUCGAUGUCGGCUCAUCACAUCCUGGGGCUGAAGUAGGUCCCAAGGGUAUGGCUGUUCGCCAUUUAAAGUGGUACGCGAGCUGGGUUUAGAACGUCGUGAGACAGUUCGGUCCCUAUCUGCCGUGGGCGCUGGAGAACUGAGGGGGGCUGCUCCUAGUACGAGAGGACCGGAGUGGACGCAUCACUGGUGUUCGGGUUGUCAUGCCAAUGGCACUGCCCGGUAGCUAAAUGCGGAAGAGAUAAGUGCUGAAAGCAUCUAAGCACGAAACUUGCCCCGAGAUGAGUUCUCCCUGAGACUUUAGGUCUCCUGAAGGAACGUUGAAGACGACGACGUUGAUAGGCCGGGUGUGUAAGCGCAGCGAUGCGUUGAGCUAACCGGUACUAAUGAACCGUGAGGCUUAACCUUACAACGCCGAAG
rnacentral:rRNA from 1 species